AACCAUAGAAACCUGCGGAGUACCUGCGGAGGGAUCAUUACCGAGUUUACAACUCCCAAACCCAAUGUGAACGUUACCAAACUGUUGCCUCGGCGGGAUCUCUGCCCCGGGUGCGUCGCAGCCCCGGACCAAGGCGCCCGCCGGAGGACCAACCAAAACUCUUUUGUAUACCCCCUCGCGGGUUUUUUAUAUCUGAGCCAUCUCGGCGCCUCUCGUAGGCGUUUCGAAAAUGAAUCAAAA
rnacentral:misc_RNA from 1 species